rnacentral:rRNA from 1 species
UACGUAGGGGGCAAGCGUUGUCCGGAUUUAUUGGGCGUAAAGAGCGUGUAGGCGGCUUUACAGGUCCGUUGUGAAAACUCGAGGCUCAACCUCGAGACGCCGGUGGAAACCGUAAAGCUAGAGUCCGGAAGAGGAGAGUGGAAUUCCUGGUGUAGCGGUGAAAUGCGCAGAUAUCAGGAAGAACACCCGUGGCGAAGGCGGCUCUCUGGGACGGUACUGACGCUGAGGAGCGAAAGCGUGGGUAGCAAACAGG